AAUCUCUUGUAUUCUGGGCUUGUUUUAAGUUGCCUGCGAUUUGUUUAAAGACUCAGGCAGCUAAAGCAAGUCUGGAAAGCCGGAGGCAACUUCGA
ensembl:miRNA